rnacentral:rRNA from 1 species
AUUGAACGCUGGCGGCAAGCCUAACACAUGCAAGUCGAGCGGAUGAAGGGAGCUUGCUCCUGGAUUCAGCGGCGGACGGGUGAGUAAUGCCUAGGAAUCUGCCUGGUAGUGGGGGAUAACGUCCGGAAACGGGCGCUAAUACCGCAUACGUCCUGAGGGAGAAAGUGGGGGAUCUUCGGACCUCACGCUAUCAGAUGAGCCUAGGUCGGAUUAGCUAGUUGGUGGGGUAAAGGCCUACCAAGGCGACGAUCCGUAACUGGUCUGAGAGGAUGAUCAGUCACACUGGAACUGAGACACGGUCCAGACUCCUACGGGAGGCAGCAGUGGGGAAUAUUGGACAAUGGGCGGAAGCCUGAUCCAGCCAUGCCGCGUGUGUGAAGAAGGUCUUCGGAUUGUAAAGCACUUUAAGUUGGGAGGAAGGGCAGUAAGUUAAUACCUUGCUGUUUUGACGUUACCAACAGAAUAAGCACCGGCUAACUUCGUG